GAUGAACGCUGGCGGCGUGCCUAAUACAUGCAAGUCGGGCGAAUGAAGAGGAGCUUGCUCCUCUGAUCUAGCGGCGGACGGGUGAGUAACACGUGGGUAAUCUGCCUGUAAGACGGGGAUAACUCCGGGAAACCGGGGCUAAUACCGGAUAACAAAAGAAGAAGCAUUUCUUCUUUUUGAAAGUUGGUUUCGGCUAACACUUACAGAUGAGCCCGCGGCGCAUUAGCUAGUUGGUGAGGUAACGGCUCACCAAGGCGACGAUGCGUAGCCGACCUGGGAGGGGGAUCGGCCACACUGGGACUGGGACACGGCCCAGACGCCUACGGGAGGCAGCAGUAGGGAAUCUUCGGCAAUGGGCGAAAGCCUGACUGAGCAACGCCGCGUGAGCGGUGAAGGCCUUCGGGUCGUAAAGCUCUGUUGUUAGGGAAGAACACGUACGAGAGUAACUGCUCGUACCUUGACGGUACCUAACCAGAAAGCCACGGCUAACUACGUGCCAGCCGCCGCCGUAA
rnacentral:rRNA from 1 species